AUAUCAACACUUAAGAUGAUUAAAAAGUAACCAUAAAAUGAAACCUUUGCAGAGGUAACUCAUCUAAUUUAUAGCAUAACAGAAAUGAAAUUGGGGAUGGUUAAGCAGUUUCCACCCUUGUUCAGUGAACAAAUACAUUAUCUCUUCACAAGGAAAUAAAUGAAAUUUACUGUUUUUUCCCUGGGUAUUGCCUGGAUUGUAAAAUGCUUCUCCCACAUCCUUACCCCAACCUUCUUCCUUGUAGGUUAGAGUUACUUGUUAUUGGUAAAUAGGCACUAUGGAGGCUAAGGAACAGAAGGAACACAGAAAGAAAAACAGUGGGCCCAAAAUUGAAAAGAAAAAGAAGCGCGGCAUCUGCAGUAUCUCCAGCUAGGAGACAAAGAAGAUUCCCAGAAGAGAAAUCCCAAAGCUUUUGCAGUUCAGUCUGCUGUGUGGAUGGCUCGACCCUUUCACAGAACUCAGGAUUUGAAGACAAAGAAGCAUCAUAUUCCAGUGGUUGAUCGAACUCCACUAGAGCCCCCACCAAUAGUGGUGGUGGUGAUGGGGCCUCCAAAAAGUUGGAAAGAAAACUUUGAUACAAUGCCUCAUUCGGAACUUCACCUGGCAGAAUUUGACGGAGAUCAGAGGCCCAGUGACAAUCAUGUCAGGUAGGAGAUGCUGCCACAGACACAGUUGGUGUGGCUGUUGUCAUCUAAGGAACAUGCAUGUGUUUGUUGUUUUCUUGUGGAACAUAUUAAAGAUUGUACUGAUGCUUAUAGAUGCCAGCUUUGGGUUUGAAAUGGAAAUGUUUGAGUUUCUAAACAUCUGUCAAGUACAUGGCUUCCCUAAAAUUAUGGGAGUUCUCACCCACCCGGACUCCUUCAAGCAUAAUAAGCAACUGAAGAAGACAAAGAAGCAAUUAAAACACAGGUUCUGGAGAGAAGUUUACCCAGGUGCAAAGCUCUUCUACCUUUCUGGAAUGGCGCAUAGAGAAUAUCAAAACCAAGAAAUCCACAACCUGGGCCGUUUUAUUACAGUUAUGAAGUUUAGGCCUCUCACAUGGAAAACUCACCCUUAUAUCCUGACAGACAGGAUGGAAGAUUUGACAAACACAGAGGAUAUCCGAACAAACAUCAAAUGUGACCGGAAGGUGUCACUUUAUGGUUAAGAGGAGCGCACUUGAAAAAUAAAAGCCAGAUUCACAUGCCAGGUGUAGGAGAUUUCACCAUGAGUGACGUGUUUCCUCCCAGACCCUUGUGCUCUUCCUGAACAACAGAAGUGCUGUUUAAAUGAGAAGAAGAAGCUGGUUUAUGCGCCUCUUUCUGGAGUUGGGGGUGUGCUGUGCGAUAAAGAUGCUGUCUAUGUUGACCUUGGUGGCAGCCACGAUUUUCAGGACGAAGUGGGGUCCACCCAUGAGCUGGUCCAGAGUCUCAUCUCCACCCAUUCCACCAUUGAUGCCAAGAUGGCUUCAAGUCGAGUGAUGUUGUUUUCUGAUUCCAAGGCACUUGGGUUGGAGGAUAUAGAUAGUCAAGGGGUGUUGAUGCCAAAGGAGGAAAAACAAAUGGACUUGAAAAUUGGUCGAAUGUGUUGGAAAGCCACUUUUGGUGAGGAAGAUGGAUCUGGAGAUAGUGACGAUGAAGAUGAUGAUGAAAUGUCUGAAGAUGACAGGUUGGAAAAUGGCUCUAGUGAUGAGGAAACAGACAAGGAGGAAAAUGCUGAGGUGACUGAUGAGUGUAUGACUGCUAAGGGCAUCAAACGACGGAAACUUGAGGAGUUAGAAGAAGACAGUGAAGUAGAUUUGCCAGCAUUUGCUGACAGUGAUGAUGACCUUGAGAGGAGCUCAGCAGAAGAAGGGGAAGCGGAGGAAGCUGAUGUAAGCAUUGUGGAAGAGGACUGCACUGCAGGAGAGAGGGGCAUUUCAGGAUCAAAGGCUGUUGGAGAAGCUAGUAAAACAGAGCUGUCGCCAGCUAAUCACCAGAGUGACCAUGUGAAUCUGGAGAAGUCUUUGCUGAUGAAGAAAGCAGCCCUCACCAUUUCUGAUUCUGGGCAUUGCACAGCUGAAGAGGUGUUUGCAUCUGAAGAUGAAUCUGAAGAAAGCUCCUUGCUCAGUACAGAGGAAGAGGACUCAGAAAAUCAAGAAGCUCUUAGGAAAAAGCUUGUCAUGAACAGCAUCAGAGAUUGCUUCGUGACUGGAAAGUGGGAAGACGAUAAAGAUGCAGCCAAGGUCUUAGCAGAAGAUG